AACGAACGCUGGCGGCAGGCCUAACACAUGCAAGUCGAGCGGACCUUUCGGGGUCAGCGGCGGACGGGUGAGUAACGCGUGGGAAUAUGCCCUUCUCUACGGAAUAGUCCUGGGAAACUGGGGGUAAUACCGUAUACGCCCUUUGGGGGAAAGUUUUAUCGGGGAAGGAUUAGCCCGCGUUGGAUUAGGUAGUUGGUGGGGUAAUGGCCUACCACGCCGACGAUCCAUAGCUGGUUUGAGAGGAUGAUCAGCCACACUGGGACUGAGACACGGCCCAGACUCCUACGGGAGGCAGCAGUGGGGAAUCUUAGACAAUGGGGGCAACCCUGAUCUAGCCAUGCCGCGUGAGUGAUGAAGGCCUUAGGGUUGUAAAGCUCUUUCAGCUGGGAAGAUAAUGACGGUACCAGCAGAAGAAGCCCCGGCUAACUCCGUG
rnacentral:rRNA from 1 species